rnacentral:rRNA from 1 species
AUUGAACGCUGGCGGCAGGCCUAACACACGCAAGUCGAGCGGAUGAAGGGAGCUUGCUCCUGGAUUCAGCGGCGGACGGGUGAGUAAUGCCUAGGAAUCUGCCUGGUAGUGGGGGAUAACGUCCGGAAACGGGCGCUAAUACCGCAUACGUCCUGAGGGAGAAAGUGGGGGAUCUUCGGACCUCACGCUAUCAGAUGAGCCUAGGUCGGAUUAGCUAGUUGGUGGGGUAAAGGCCUACCAAGGCGACGAUCCGUAACUGGUCUGAGAGGAUGAUCAGUCACACUGGAACUGAGACACGGUCCAGACUCCUACGGGAGGCAGCAGUGGGGAAUAUUGGACAAUGGGCGAAAGCCUGAUCCAGCCAUGCCGCGUGUGUGAAGAAGGUCUUCGGAUUAUAAAGCACUUUAAGUUGGGAGGAAGGGCAGUAAGUUAAUACCUUGCUGUUUUGACGUUACCAACAGAAUAAGCACCGGCUAACUUCGUG